AGCGAACGCUGGCGGCAGGCCUAACACAUGCAAGUCGAACGCCGUAGCAAUACGGAGUGGCAGACGGGUGAGUAACGCGUGGGAACCUUCCCUAUGGUUCGGAAUAGCUCAGGGAAACCUGGGGUAAUACCGGAUAAGCCCUUAGGGGGCAAGAUUUAUCGCCAUUGGAUGGGCCCGCGUCGGAUUAGCUAGUUGGUGAGGUAACGGCUCACCAAGGCGACGAUCCGUAGCUGGUCUGAGAGGAUGAUCAGCCACACUGGACUUGAGACACGGCCCAGACUCCUACGGGAGGCAGCAGUGGGGAAUAUUGGACAAUGGGCGAAAGCCUGAUCCAGCCAUGCCGCGUGAGUGACGAAGGCCUUAGGGUUAUAAAGCUCUUUUGGCGGGGAAGAUAAUGACGGUACCCGCAGAAUAAGCUCCGGCUAACUUCGUGCCAGCCGCCGCAGUAA
rnacentral:rRNA from 1 species